AUUAGUGAGCUUUAUGCAGCCACACCGGAGUGCUAAACAGCCGUGCCUGGUUAGUACUUGGAUGGGAGACCAACUUGGAAGACCAGGGGCCACUAACC
rnacentral:rRNA from 12 species